rnacentral:rRNA from 1 species
UACAGCGGGUGCAAACGUUGCUCGGAAUCACUGGGCGUAAAGCGCGUGUAGGCGGACCGGAAAGUCGGGUGUGAAAUCCCUGGGCUCAACCCAGGAACUGCAUCCGAAACUACCAGCCUAGAGUGUCGGAGAGGGAAGUGGAAUUCUUGGUGUAGAGGUGAAAUUCGUAGAUAUCAAGAGGAACACCGGUGGCGAAGGCGGCUUCCUGGACGAUAACUGACGCUGAGACGCGAAAGCGUGGGGAGCAAACAGG